rnacentral:pre_miRNA from 1 species
UUUGUGCUGAAUCCUGUUACGUAUACUGAAGGUAUACCGGAUGGUUGAUUUACUCAGGAUACAUUCAGUAUACGUACAGGAAACAGUACGUA